rnacentral:lncRNA from 1 species
AAAAGAGAUGCCCCUCGAACUAACUGAGCUUUAACUUAAUGGAACCCAGACAGGAGCUGCAUGAUCCAACUUCCUAUCCAGGGAUUCUGAGAGGCUGAACAAUUCUAGCCAAGAAAAGGAUUAUAAUAUUGAUGAAAUCAAAGCAUCUAGAAGACCGUGCAUUCCAUUUUUAAUCUAGCUGAGAUGGCAUAAUUCAUACCUCCUCAAAUUUGGACAAUUAUAAAUGACUCAACCAGCGAGUGCCAAAUUCCACCUACACCCUGAGUAUACCUGAAGC